rnacentral:rRNA from 1 species
CAAUAGCGUAUAUUUAAGUUGUUGCAGUUAAAAAGCUCGUAGUUGGAUUUCGGAUGGGAUUUGCCGGUCCGUCGUUACGAUGUGCACUGGCCAGUCCUAUCUUGUUGUCGGGGACUAGCUCCUUGGAUUCACUUCCUGGGACUAGGAGCUGACGAGGUUACUUUGAGUAAAUUAGAGUGUUCAAAGCAAGCCUACGCUCUGAAUACAUUAGCAUGGAAUAACACGAUAGGACUCUGGCUUAUCUUGUUGGUCUGUGAGACCAGAGUAAUGAUUAAGAGGGACAGUCGGGGACAUUCGUAUUUCAUUGUCAGAGGUGAAAUUCUUGGAUUUAUGAAAGACGAACUUCCGCGAAAGCAUUUGUCAAGGAUGUUUUCAUUAA